UAUGGGACAGCACGAAAGUCAUAUUUAUUUUGGCAUUUUUAGAACAAACAUGCCUUGUUUAUUCGAAAGGCUAAAAUAAUAUGUAACAACAAGACUUUUGUGAAGUUUAUCUCAUUUUUUGACAAAAAUACAUAUGGGACGGACUAGAUUGGAGCGGCAGUAAAGUACGAUAAUAAAUAUUGUUGUGUGAAAGUGAGGCUGAAAUAAUUCGGUCUGUGGGAACCUACUUCGGGUUUCCAGGGACGUGUGUACACUGAAGAUUAAAAUUACGACCAAAAUGUGUCGAUGGUACACAUUGGAUGGUUUAACCGCGUUGUUUUGAAAUCGAUGUGUCGAUUCUACACAUCGCGCUGGUUUUUGCUCAAAAAGCCAUCCAAUGCGUAAACUGCUCUGUUGCCUGCUUCACCAUAGUUGCCGUUGGGUGUCGCCACCAGUGUCAGACUUAGACGUCAAACGGAAAGGAAAAAAAACAUGCGGUUUUUGUGCAAGUUAGUUUGGUGAAUUUUCUGCAUAUUUGAACGCACUCGGUCGCUUGCAAAUAUGAAGCAGAAGGUGUUCGAAUCGGAUGCAUCCGGAACCUCUGCCGAAAGAUGUUACGCUGGAUGGCAGCUUACUGUCCAUCCGGCGCCAGACGAAAUGGUGCAGCAUUUCAAAACAUGGCCCGGCAGAUUGAGCAGCGGACCAGGUUCGAAUUGGAACUCGAGCAGUGGAUCUAACACCUACAGAAGUGCCGGACGCGGGACGAUGCUCAACGUGGUCAACCGGUAACCAAGACGGAAAAGUCGAUGGUAAGUUUAUCUGCAAUAAAAAUAAUCAACAAAACAACAUUUUACUGAAACAUGAAGCUUGCUGCUCGAACCACAUCCUUGUGCCUUGAGGGAGCUGUACACCCGCGCUUAUCGGAACCAUCAGUUCCGACGCACCACAACAAGGAGUCGCUGCUGGCAUUCCGCCAAAAUAUCCGGCCACAUUUCAUCCUACGGGCGGCUCGGUCAGCUGAACUCGACCUGGAAUCCACUACAGCUGGCGCACAAGUCGAGCGACCGGUCGAUAGCGCGUUCACCGCUCACGUGGCACACCCCGCCCAACCACCAGGACCAGCUUUAAAACUUCAUGUCCGCAAACCACAAGAAGAAUCUUGACAGCAACCAAUACUGCAAACGUUUGGUCCGGCUAGCCGCUGAGUUCGGUCGUCGGCGGAACGGAUUCGCGUUUUCUUCUAUACGCUGAACAACUCAACGUCAAUAGCCUCGACUAACAAUUUGUGUCCAGGCAACAACAAGUUCGAGGGCGCGGUCCUGCCACCGUCCCCACCGGAACGAUCCCCGCAGAGAGCGGGUAAAGCCGGCAACGACCGUGCGCGAUCCAGCGAGUGGACAAGAUCGAGAUCGAAUCGAAUGUGCAAGUUGAUUCGGCCGCCGCGAGCGAAAGGAACGAAGCGUCCACUCCAUCUUCCGCAUUCCGACGACCGCCAAGCAACCGUCCCGGUCGCCACAGGGCGUCACCUUAUUGACGUAGCACGACAACCGAGCAGCAGCACUACCAAGAAAAUAACCCGCCGCCACCGCAGCUAGCAGUCGCGCAACCCACUUCUGCGCAGUUGCAGCCAACAUGUCCCAGCCAUAACAGCAGCAGUAGCAGCUUGGCGCUUACAGGAGAUGAACGUAAAACCGAACAUUUUGGAGUUGAUGAAUCCCCGCGAACAUGCUCGGAACCGCAAUGAUGAACCCGAGCCGUUCUUCGGCUCACUCUCGAUGGUGUACCAAGUGACCAGGAAGCGCGGUCGUAUCAACAAGGUAGGGAAGCGCACUGCGAGAUCUUCUCCGUUGACACCGGUCACCGGUUGGUGGUGCCCUGGUAGGAAAUUUGCUACUUGCCGCAGGCGCUGUGCGUCGGGCCGGCCUUGUACAUUGAUGCGCGUGCGACCGUUCAAGCAGCACGGCUACCGUGGACGGACGAAGCCAAGCGGUACUUUAUUCGGACGGCUAGCGUGUCGUACGUGUUUGAGGCGUUUGUCGGGGACCGACAGCUAAAGGAGAGCUCCUACGAGAUUUUCAUGAAGCGGCACGACAUUUGCGUCAACGGGAUGGUGAAGGAGGGAUUCGCCGUGUCGAGUGGGUCCGUAUCGGCGGUCGUCGAGCGCAUCAAGGAGGACAUUCCGGAGAAAGAUGAUGAGGGGGCGGUUGUGGUUGUGAGGGUGGAGGCGGUCGAGCAAAAGUCGGUUAAGGAAGUAGGGAAUCGAACGCUGCGCAGACAAAGUACGAAAGCCAGCAGCGGACCAAGUCAGUGCUGACGGUGUCGAUUCUGCGGUUGGUCGAUCCGGGUGAGUUGACGUGACGUUGCAGCAGGACGGGGAUCGAGCGAAUGCAGAUGGAAUUCCAGAACGUGGUGGAGGACAAGGAGCCGGGUGACAAGGCGGACUGAAAGAAGGGCGAGUACUGUUUGGUGUUUCCGACGAUAGUUUCGAAGCGUCCGGUGCUUCCUGGCGUGCGUUGGUCCCAUUGGUAAUUAACAGUCGUGGAGUUCGUCGGUCAUUGACGCGUUCAAGGUAACGUGCGGCAAGUUCAAGCGCUUCUCCAUCUCGCUGCACGGACCCAGCUUUCACGGCGCCCUCCCCGUCAUCUUGUAGGGCAUGACCGAGUAAAAUGUCAAGGCGUUGUACCCGCAGAUGUACCUGUACACCAACAUCAACAACCGGUCAAUACGGCUACGUCCACCUCAAGGAGAAGUUCAAGCCCCGGAGGCGGAGACGGCCUCCAUCGAAGAAGAACUCCAGCGUUACCAUCAAUCCUUUGACAAGUUCCUCGAAGAGCUGGACGUGGACAUGAAGGAGGAAAAACCUGAUCCACAACAGCAGGAAGACGACAACCUGACGCACUCGUGCGGAACCUACCAGGACGACAUUACGGACGAGCACACGCCAAUCGACUGAUGGCUCCCAGCUCCCAGCCAAACCCAUCGAAAAGAACAUCUUCGUAGGCAAACCCGGCUACGUGGACAACAACGGCCUCAUCUACCUGGGGCAGGAACCGGUGUUGAACGCCCUGCGUAAGGUAAUCAACGCCAAGUUCGCCGACAGCAGCGCCAUUGACAAGUUCUACUCGGACAACGAACCGUGCAUGGCCAAGUUCCACCAGGACAACAAGUUCUACCGCGCGAUCGUCCGCAAAGCUAUCCGCGGUCGCCGCUACAAGGUCCAGUUCAUCGACUACGGCAACCUAAUCAACCUGAUGAUGUACAAUUUGAUGGUAAGUUAAUCUGCAAAAAUAUGUCAAAAAAACAAUGCGAUAAAACUUGAAUGUACCACUUAGGACCACACCUCCGCGUCUUCUGGGAGCUAUCAACCCGCAGUCCUAAGAACCGUCCGUUCCGACGCGACCACAACAAGCAGUCACUGCUGGUACCUGGCCAUGAUCGACUGCCCCGAAAACUCACUCCUCGGGGCCAACCA